UUCCUCACGGACAUCGGCCCGCACGGCCAAAGACCGGAACGGGACCGAACGUCGUUCGAAAUACGGCAUUAAAGCCUUCGAGGGCAAAUAGGAGCCGAGGACCCCGUGCCCGUUUCGUUUUCCGCAUCCCAGCGAUCGAACGAGAAUUCAUGUACCACGGCAACACGACGCCAAAACGUGUGUGCCAAGGGACACAAAUCCCGCUUCGUGUUCCACCCGCGACCGCACCGAGUUAACGGGCAGCCUUAGGCGAACGAGGCAAGAUUGACAACCGAAUUCCGUCAAGUAGGUACGCAACACAGGAAACCGAGGGAACGGCCAAUGAAAAUUGUGCCAUCAAUGAAAAGGAAUGCAAGGUAGGACGUCGCCGCGCUAGGCAGGGAU
rnacentral:misc_RNA from 1 species